ACUCAAAUGAAUUGACGGGGACCUGCACAACCAGUGGAUUAUGUGGUUUAAUUCGAGACAAACCGAAAGACCUUACCCGGGUUUGAAAUGCUACUGUUUACGUCACCAGAAACGGAGAUGGAUCUAUUUAUUUAGAAGGUAGCACAGGUGUUGCAUGGCUGUCGUCAGCUCGUGCCGUGGGGUGUUCCCUUCAGUGGGGUAACGAGCGCAACCCUUGUCAUAAGUUGAAUAUUCUUAUGAGACUACUCGCCUUUGGCGAGAGGAAGUGGGGACGACGUCAAGUCAGCAUGGCCCUUAUAUCCGGGGCGACACACAUAAUACAAUGGAGCCGACAAUGGGUUGCCAAGCAGUAAUGCGGAGCUAAUCCCACAAACGGCUUCUCAGUGGGGAUUGAGGGCUGCAACUCGCCCUCAUGAACGCGGAAUUGGUAGUAAUCGCAAAUCAGCAAGUUGCGGUGAAUACGUUCUCGGGUCUUGUACACACCGCCCGU
rnacentral:rRNA from 1 species